GACGAACGCUGGCGGCGUGCCUAAUACAUGCAAGUAGAACGCUGAAGAGAGGAGCUUGCUCUUCUUGGAUGAGUUGCGAACGGGUGAGUAACGCGUAGGUAACCUGCCUUGUAGCGGGGGAUAACUAUUGGAAACGAUAGCUAAUACCGCAUAACAAUGGAUGACACAUGUCAUUUAUUUGAAAGGGGCAAUUGCUCCACUACAAGAUGGACCUGCGUUGUAUUAGCUAGUAGGUGAGGUAACGGCUCACCUAGGCGACGAUACAUAGCCGACCUGAGAGGGUGAUCGGCCACACUGGGACUGAGACACGGCCCAGACUCCUACGGGAGGCAGCAGUAGGGAAUCUUCGGCAAUGGGGGCAACCCUGACCGAGCAACGCCGCGUGAGUGAAGAAGGUUUUCGGAUCGUAAAGCUCUGUUGUAAGUCAAGAACGAGUGUGAGAGUGGAAAGUUCACACUGUGACGGUAGCUUACCAGAAAGGGACGGCUAACUACGUGCCAGCAGCCGCGGUAAUACGUAGGUCCCGAGCGUUGUCCGGAUUUAUUGGGCGUAAAGCGAGCGCAGGCGGUUUGAUAAGUCUGAAGUUAAAGGCUGUGGCUCAACCAUAGUUCGCUUUGGAAACUGUCAAACUUGAGUGCAGAAGGGGAGAGUGGAAUUCCAUGUGUAGCGGUGAAAUGCGUAGAUAUAUGGAGGAACACCGGUGGCGAAAGCGGCUCUCUGGUCUGUAACUGACGCUGAGGCUCGAAAGCGUGGGGAGCGAACAGGAUUAGAUACCCUGGUAGUCCACGCCGUAAACGAUGAGUGCUAGGUGUUGGAUCCUUUCCGGGAUUCAGUGCCGCAGCUAACGCAUUAAGCACUCCGCCUGGGGAGUACGACCGCAAGGUUGAAACUCAAAGGAAUUGACGGGGGCCCGCACAAGCGGUGGAGCAUGUGGUUUAAUUCGAAGCAACGCGAAGAACCUUACCAGGUCUUGACAUCCCGAUGCUAUUUCUAGAGAUAGAAAGUUACUUCGGUACAUCGGUAACAGGUGGUGCAUGGUUGUCGUCAGCUCGUGUCGUGAGAUGUUGGGUUAAGUCCCGCAACGAGCGCAACCCCUAUUGUUAGUUGCCAUCAUUCAGUUGGGCACUCUAGCGAGACUGCCGGUAAUAAACCGGAGGAAGGUGGGGAUGACGUCAAAUCAUCAUGCCCCUUAUGACCUGGGCUACACACGUGCUACAAUGGUUGGUACAACGAGUUGCGAGUCGGUGACGGCAAGCUAAUCUCUUAAAGCCAAUCUCAGUUCGGAUUGUAGGCUGCAACUCGCCUACAUGAAGUCGGAAUCGCUAGUAAUCGCGGAUCAGCACGCCGCGGUGAAUACGUUCCCGGGCCU
rnacentral:rRNA from 1 species